rnacentral:sRNA from 1 species
GAACUUCAAAUCCACAAAUCAAAAACCGCCUCAUCUAUCAAUUCAUCUAACACAAACUCCCAUAUCUCCACGACAAUUCCUUCUGUCUUUGAUCUAAUGUCCAUCCAUGCCUGAACCUCCAAAUCCCUUUUAAUUAUCUGUUCCAAUGUACUUGGGAAACUACACUUGAGAUAACCAUCAACAUAUUUGUCAACUUCUGAGAUGAGUUUUUCUCCUACCGGAGGUGUCCGUAUGUCAUGUUUGACAAAAGAUAACCAAGAAGAGAGUCUAAAAUAUCUCUCUUGGAUCUCUGUUAGUGCUUCACAGAUGCAAUCAAACAAAAUCUUCAUAUCAUCUAUUCGGUCCCCUUGAUUCUGUAGUUCUUCGAACAUGCAAGGGCUGAUUAAUUCAUCCUCUAGAUACCACACCUCUAAAUUUUGCUCUGCACAUAAUUCUGAGAGCUCUAGCACCAGCAUUAUAUAAUCUAACCUGGCAUUCUUAUCCUCCCAAAAGACCUUUACACCUGAUUCAUUAUCUGGGAAGUACAGGGUCCCACAGGAAACUUCGUGCAGCUCAUCUGUAUGUCAUAAAAUGGUGAGUAAUACAGAUACUAGAGUACAUAAUAUUUUUUAUCUGUGCAGGGAAAGAAGAUAAACUAAUUUAAACCAUUGUUCUUGCAAACAAUUGUAUUAAUUGGACUUACAUUUUUUCAUUGUUUUGCAUUCAGGAGAGCUGUCAUCUUCAUCGAAUGAAUCAAGAACCGAUACAGGACUUGGCUGUUCUUUCUUCUCAUUGCUUUGCUCAGGACAACCAUCUGGUAAUUUUGGUGAUGAUUUUGGUUCAGGUGUUUUUGGAUCUUGUUGCUCCAAAUUUUCAACCAUGCUCUCAGGAGAGCUCAUGAACAUUUGAACAGGUUCUUUUCCUUCAGUUCCUUCUAAUAUUUCCUAUAAAUAGAAGUAUGAACAUGUACAUCUUAAAAUACACUAACAAAAGAUGGAAUAAGGCUAGGCAUUCAUUUGAGCUUACUGGCAAGGGGCUGUCUGUGUAUUGUUCUGCUGGGAUGCACUGUAUGUUGCAAAUUGUUUUGGAACAAUCCAAUUUGCCAACUCCUUCAACAGGCACGGUGUCUACCUCAUCAGUAGCAUAUAU